rnacentral:rRNA from 1 species
UGGAAUUCACACCGCCCGUCGUUAUCUAAGAUGAUAUUGAUGAUGAAAAUUGAGAGAUGUGAAUUAUUUUUAUUAGAUCUGAUAUAAGUCGUAACAUGGCUGCGGUUGGAGAACCAGUUGCAGGAUCAA